ensembl:scaRNA
ACAGAGGAGAAAGAAGGCUGAGUCUGAUGAAGCAAGACUUUGUGGAUACACUUCUCCUAGAAAAAAGAGGUACAGAGAGCAGCCCGUACUAGAGAAAAAUCACAGGGCUGACUGUUCUGACAUUU